rnacentral:lncRNA from 1 species
CCUGCCUCAUCUCCCCUUCCUGCAUGAACACUUCUUCUCAUGUAAACAAGGAACUGUAUCUGAUUCUUCAGCUAUUUCAAAGCACCCAGCAACCCUCAGGAUCCUUGGUUGGCACUCGCUCAACAGAUAUUUGUGCAAUGAAUGACUGUCUACAACUAUCAGACAUCAAUGUCUUCAAGAAUCUACAAAAUAGAACUACUACUCACUUCUUUUGUCUACUGCUGGCAAAACGAAGAGUGCCAAACAGUCCCAGAAUAAACGAAUUACGUUCCAAGUGAUGAAGAAGCACAAAGCAAAGAGAGUAUGAGACAGAUGAUCACACCAUGUGCUGACUUGCCCAGAAGCCUUCAAGGCCUUUAAUUAAACAGUCUAACCAUGGGAGGCAAAAGAUGGAAUGGAAUGUGUUCCUAAUUAAUGCUUUAACCUCAGUAUGCUCCCAGGCCAGGAAAUAUAAUAACUAUGUAAGAAUUUGGAAAUUGUUUCCACCGAGAUCAUGGCAGGUUUUUUUUUUGAUGAAUUUUAGUCACUGUUUCAAAGAAGCCUGUGCUAUUAGCUGAACUGAUCUCAUAAACCAAAUAUGG